rnacentral:rRNA from 1 species
AGUGAACGCUGGCGGUAGGCCUAACACAUGCAAGUCGAACGGCAGCACAGUAAGAGCUUGCUCUUACGGGUGGCGAGUGGCGGACGGGUGAGGAAUACAUCGGAAUCUACUUUUUCGAGGGGGAUAACGUAGGGAAACUUACGCUAAUACCGCAUACGACCUACGGGUGAAAGCAGGGGAUCUUCGGACCUUGCGCGAUUGAAUGAGCCGAUGUCGGAUUAGCUAGUUGGCGGGGUAAAGGCCCACCAAGGCGACGAUCCGUAGCUGGUCUGAGUAGAUGAUCAGCCACACUGGAACUGAGACACGGUCCAGACUCCUACGGGAGGCAGCAGUGGGGAAUAUUGGACAAUGGGCGCAAGCCUGAUCCAGCCAUACCGCGUGGGUGAAGAAGGCCUUCGGGUUGUAAAGCCCUUUUGUUGGGAAAGAAAAGCAGCAGGUUAAUACCCCGCUGUUCUGACGGUACCCAAAGAAUAAGCACCGGCUAACUUCGUG